AUAAAACAUUUGAUAAACUUGUCGCUUGGCAGGUAGCAUAAAAAAAGAAAAAAAAAAACACAACAACAACAAAAUUGGAGCAUUUCUUUUAUGCCUACUCCAGACUCCUUAGAGGGGCAGAGUGUGGGGACAUUUCAAUGGGGCUACGAGAACCAUAAAAAUCUUUGGCAAAAGUUGGGAGCCGUAAUUCUGCGUUCUUCAUUCUUGCCCGUUGCCUAGGCUCAGCUCAGCUCAGCUCAGGCUCCAAGUCAUCUUGGCCCACUUGGACCAACGUCUGGUCAUUUUAAAGUUGAAAAUUAUCUAGAUAGCCCAAGUUGCGCUUUGUUGCUGUGAAAGGCCUGCAAUCCAACGAUUGUCAGCACAUUACAGGCCUACACAAUCCAAGCCCAAGAAUGGAGACGGAGACAUUCACAAUUCAUAAUGAAAGUUGAAAGUCCUGUGUGUUGCUAUUGGCAAUAAUCAUUGUUGUAAAAUUUUUGCUAUUAAUUCGUUUAUUUAAAUUUGUCUGGCUCAACACCAAAGUCUGGUCUGAGUAAGUCUGUCUGCUCAGCUUUUGCUUUGUUUUGCUUUGCUUUUAGAUUAUGCAAAUGCACAAUUUCUCUGAAAUAAUCUCUUUGUGUAAGUCAAAUGAUGCGAACUUCGAGUACUUACGAAUUUCUUGUAAUUUGCAUUUGGCUGCCACUUACCUGAAAAAGAGAUAUGAAAACAUAUUAAAAUACAUUAAAUUGUGCAAAUAUUAGAAUUUAUAAAAGUAAUUUCGUGAGUAGGCAUUGAAAGUUAGUUCUUGAUAAAAAAAAAAUGAUCAAUUUUGCUGCAUUAAAUCUUUUAAUAUUUAAUUUGUGGCUCGUUCACGUGAUACAAAAUAUCUAUCGCAUUGGCAGUGAUGAUGCCGCUAAGAAAGGGCUCAACCAACUUGCCGAGCACAGAGUUUUCCCUGAUUUGAUGUGGCACACGUUUAGUGCGAUCAAUGCGCUUUUGCUGUUGCCAACUUUUUUUACUGAACCGUGUAAUGGGCUGGCUGUUGGGCUUUAUUCUCACCUGGAAUAUUUUCAUGUAUCAAAGAAUAUUUUCAUUCCAAUUGCAGCUAAUUUAUGCGCUAUGGAAAAGCCAAGAAAAUCGCUUAAAGUGUGCUUUAAUCAUUUGCUUUCUCAUUGUUGUCAACGGCUUCUACUUUAAUUUCUUUUAUCGAGCUUUAAAACUGCAACGCAAAUCUUUCACUGUCAGUGCAAAAAGAGAAAAUGAAGCAGCAGAAAAAGGAAAUGGAUGUGAAAAACGAUUGAAGAUGGGCCAAUAGGCGAUGAGCUUCAUUUGAAUUAAUGUUUGUCCACUUAACUGGGUCGACUCGGCACACAACACACAAAUCACUCACAGGCUUAGGUUUUAACCUUGGCCACACACACUCUACUACACUUCACUACACUUCACUACACUGCACUACACAAUACGACACUAGUACAAAUUCUAGGUCGUUUGGUUCAACUAAUAAAUAUGCCAAAAAAUACGAAACAGAAAACACAGAGAAACAGGACGCUCGACAUAUACAAAUGAAUCGCAGCUGAGGGCUGCAAAGGGCUCGGAAAUAAAACCAUUAAAUAUUUGCGGUUAAACGCACCAAAAACAAACCGCAAAAGUAAAUCAUACCGAAAGUAGACAUCGGACAUGGCCAAGAAUUUCCCAAU